rnacentral:rRNA from 1 species
CCUACGGGGGGCAACAGUGAGGAAUAUUGGUCAAUGGACGAGAGUCUGAACCAGCCAAGUAGCGUGAAGGAUGACUGUCCUAUGGGUUGUAAACUUCUUUUAUAUGGGAAUAAAACGUUCCACGUGUGGGAUUUUGUAUGUACCAUAUGAAUAAGGAUCGGCUAACUCCGUGCCAGCAGCCGCGGUAAUACGGAGGAUCCGAGCGUUAUCCGGAUUUAUUGGGUUUAAAGGGAGCGUAGGUGGAUUUUUAAGGCAGUUGUGAAAGUUUGCGGCUCAACCGUAAAAUUGCAGUUGAAACUGGCAGUCUUGAGUACAGUAGAGGUGGGCGGAAUUCGUGGUGUAGCGGUGAAAUGCUUAGAUAUCACGAAGAACUCCGAUUGCGAAGGCAGUUCACUGGACUGCAACUGACACUGAGGCUCGAAAGUGUGGGUAUCAAACAGGAUUAGAUACCCCAGUAGUC